rnacentral:sRNA from 1 species
AUUAAGUAUUGUUUUAUGGCUGAUAAAUUUCUUUGAAUUUCUCCUUGAUUAUUUGUUAUAAAAGUUAUAAAAUAAUCUUGUUGGAACCAUUCAAAACAGCAUAGCAAGUUAAAAUAAGGCUAGUCCGUUAUCAACUUGAAAAAGUGGCACCGAGUCGGUGCUUUUUUUGAUACUUCUAUUCUACUCUGACUGCAAACCAAAAAAACAAGCGCUUUCAAAACGCUUGUUUUAUCAU